CAGUCGCCGCGGUAAUACGUAGGGUGCGAGCGUUGAUCGGAAUUACUGGGCGUAAAGCGUGCGCAGGCGGUUGUGUAAGACAGGUGUGAAAUCCCCGGGCUUAACCUGGGAACUGCGCUUGUGACUGCACAGCUAGAGUAUGGCAGAGGGGGGUGGAAUUCCUGGUGUAGCAGUGAAAUGCGUAGAGAUCAGGAGGAACACCGAUGGCGAAGGCAGCCCCCUGGGCCUGUACUGACGCUCAUGCACGAAAGCGUGGGGAGCAAACAGGAUUAGAUACCCCCGUAGUCCCUGUCUCUUAUAC
rnacentral:rRNA from 1 species